UCCGAUCACUAUAAAUAAAUUCUGUUAUAGGAAUUCGACGAUCCGGUCAUUACGUCACGUUUAUCGUCGUGACGAAGCUUCUACACACGCAGCGGAUGGGAAAAGGCGGAUACCAUUUCGAAACGCACGAUGGUGAACGGGGCUGGCAUUUUGCCUUCGACGGAGUUCGAUUUCCAUAUGUGCACCAGCAACCAUCGCAUUACUUCCAGUGCGACGGUAACCGCUUUGACUCGAACGAGAUCCAUUGUAGGCCCGGCAGGUCAUGCUGAAUUUGAUCCAGUGCAUUCUGCAACAAAAUUACGUUCCGUAGAAUGGAGAAAACAAAAAACAAAUCUAACAGAAAAUUUAACGGAAAUCAACAUUCAUCGCAAAUCAAACGUAGAUUGGAUCGAGUCACUAUUGAUGCGUCGCAGCAUCAGCCGUACAAAUUCGACAAUUAUUCGAAUCUGUUCCCGCACGGCGAAUAUAAAUUAUGUCGCUAAUGAAACUGAAUUCGGUUGCGCUGACGCUGUCGGCUUCAUCGACAUGCUGAAAGGCCUGCAAUAAGGUAGUAAACAUCAAGGCGGAGGAGUCAGCUCUAAACGAAUUCUUCAGUUGGCUGGAGUAAAAACGACUCGAAGAGAAAAGGUCCGAUCACGUUUUGCUUAUCUACCACGAGUAGAUGAAAAGAUACAACCUGUUGAACGGGUUUCCCGCAAUGGUCAAAUUGAGCCGGAGAAAAUAUUUCUCUAACUGACAUUGCAGUGCAGUUCUUACUGGACGGGAGUAACGUGUCUGUUGGACCUGGUUGGAUAACAAUCUGGUACGACCACUGGUGAGUGACGACACAGAACAUCCGCAACAAUCCGAUGUAGGCCGUGUGCCAAUCGGCGACAAGCAGUCUUUCUAGUCGAAAUCUUUGCCGAACAACGUAUAGCAGCAUUGCCUAAACUUCCCGUACCAGCAACUAGAUUGAAGGAAUUUGACGAUCCGGUCGUUACGUCAUGUUUAUCGUCGUGACGAAGCAUCUACUCACGCAGCGGAUGGGAAAAGGCGGGUACCAUUUCGAAAAGCACGAUGGUGGACGGUGCUAGAAUUUUUGCCCUUGACGGAGCUCAAUUUCUAUGUGUUCACCAACAACUAUCGCAUUACUUCCAGUGCGACGGUAACCGCUUUAACUCGUCGCUGAUGAACCUGAAUUUGGUUGCGCUGACGCUGUCGCCUUCUUCGAUAUGCUGAAAGGCCUGCAAUAAGGUAGUAAACAGAAAUGCGUAGGAGUCAGCUCUAAACGAAUUCUUCAUUUGGCUGGAGUAAAAACGACUCGAAGAUGAAGGUCCUAUCACGUUUUGCUUAUCUACCACGAAUAGUGCAAAUUUGUCUCGCACAUGGUGUUCAAGGCACUGUACAACCUGUGAAAUGGGUUUCCCGCAACGGUCAAAUUGAGCCGAAGAAAAUAUUUCUCUAACUGACAUUGCAGUGCAGUUGUUACUGGACGGGAGUAACGCGUCUGUUGGACCUGAUUGGAUAACAAUCUGGCACGACCACUGGUGAGUGACUACACAGAACAUCUGCAACAAUCCUAUGUAGGCCGUGUGCCAAUCGGCGACAAGCAGUUUUUCGGGUCGAAAUCUUGGCCGAACAACGUAUAGCAGCAUUGCCUAAACUUCCCGUACCAGCAACUAGCAUCUACAUACGCAGCCGGCGGGAAAAACGGAUUACAUUGGGAAACGCACGAUGGUAAACGGUGCUGGUAUUAUGCACUCAACGGAGUUCGCUUUCCAUAUUUGCAUCAGACCAGCACCGUAGCAUUGCUUCCAGUGCGACGAUAAUUAUGCUUUUUAUAUUCUUUUUAUGCUUGGAAAGCGCAAUUGUUGAAUAUAAAAUGUAAAUAAAACAGAUUGCAUCAACUGGUUUAAUUUUUUUUAAUGAAAAAUGAAUAAAAAGAAAUCUGACGGAUCAGAAAGAAGAAGAAGAGUGCCAAAAUAGUGAGCACGACGGUGUCCGAUUCUCUAUAGCUUGACAUCGGAGCUACGUAGCUCUUAUAUCGCCUGACGAUUUUGAAAACUUCGAAGCCCGACAGUCCGAUUUCGAUGGUGCAAAACAGCACGAUAUAGUUCUUAUAUAAA